UGGGGAAUAUUGCACAAUGGAGGGAACUCUGAUGCAGCGACGCCGCGUGAACGAAGAAGGCUUUCGAGUCGUAAAGUUCUUUUAUAUGGGAAGAUAAUGACGGUACCAUAAGAAAAAGCUCCGGCUAACUACGUGCCAGCAGCCGCGGUAAUACGUAGGGGGCUAGCGUUGUUCGGAAUCACUGGGCGUAAAGGGUUCGCAGGCGGAAAUGCAAGUCAGGUGUAAAAGGCAGUAGCUUAACUACUGUAAGCAUUUGAAACUGCAUAUCUUGAGAAGAGUAGAGGUAAGUGGAAUUUUUAGUGUAGCGGUGAAAUGCGUAGAUAUUAAAAAGAAUACCGGUGGCGAAGGCGACUUACUGGGCUCAUUCUGACGCUGAGGAACGAAAGCGUGGGUAGCAAACAGG
rnacentral:rRNA from 1 species